rnacentral:tRNA from 1 species
GCCGGGGUGGCGGAACUAGGCAGACGCGCCGGGUUUAGGACCCGGUGGGGUAACACCCGUGGAGGUUCGAUUCCUCUCCCCGGCA